rnacentral:rRNA from 1 species
AUUGAACGCUGGCGGCAGGCCUAACACAUGCAAGUCGAGCGAGCGGCGGACGGGUGAGUAAUGUCUGGGAAACUGCCUGAUGGAGGGGGAUCACUACUGGACACGGUAGCUAAUACCGCAUACCAUCAGAUGUGCCCAGAUGGGAUUAGCUAGUAGGUGGGGUAAAGGCUCACCUAGGCGACGAUCCCUAGCUGGUCUGAGAGGAUGACCAGCCACACUGGAACUGAGACACGGUCCAGACUCCUACGGGAGGCAGCAGUGGGGAAUAUUGGACAAUGGGCGCAAGCCUGAUGCAGCCAUGCCGCGUGUGUGAAGAAGGCCUUCGGGUUGUAAAGCACUUUCAGCGAGGAGGCGUUACUCGCAGAAGAAGCACCGGCUAACUCCGUGCCAGCAGCCGCGGUAAGUC